AGAGCAACUGAAAACCCUGGAAGCUUCACACUUGUAAUGGUCCAUGUCCAGUGGAAUGCAGCUGAAGGAGGGGCCAAGCCCCAGAGUUGCAUUUGAGCAUUUGGAUCCAAGACAGAAAGUCACUUUUGCGGCUGGGCCCGGCUGAUCUUGGACAAUGUCCUGAAAGAAGGCUUUCUACUGUAGAAGAACCAGGGUGAACUCUGGGUAGGAGAUGACGUACUUAGAAGAAAAGACAGGCAGAUUCUCAAACUCAGGACUUUACCAUAAAAAAGACUUUGGAAUAUAUUCCUCAGCCUCUUUUUUAUUGUGAUAAAAUGUACAUGACCACAAAAGUGUACAUGAACACAUGAACACUGUAACCAUUUUAAAUGUACAUUGCAGUGACAAUUAGUAGGUUCAAAAUGUUAUAUAACCAUCAUCACUCCCCAGUUCCAGAAUGUUUUUGUCACCUCAGGGGAAACGCUGCACCUAUUAAUCAAUCACCCUCCAUUUCCACCUGCCACCUGACCCUGUCACCACAAAUCCACUUUCUUUCUCUAUAGAUUUGCUUCUUCUAAAUAUUUCGUAAAAAUGGGUUAAUAAUUUAUGUAGCCUUCUAUACCUGGCUUCCUUCACUUAUCAUGUUUUCAAGAUUCAGUAAUGUUUUAUCAUGUGCCACUGCUUUAUUAUUUUUAUGGCCAAAUAAUAUUUUAUUGUAGAAAUAAACUAUAUGUUGUUUCUCCA